CCUGGGACAACGUUAGAUUACCCGCGUUUUCGCAUCCAACUAGAUACAAUAUAACUAUUCACCCCAAUUUAACAACCCUAGAGGUCAAAGGACAAGUAACUAUUGAAUUUUACGUCGAUAGAGAGACCAAUUUUAUCGUCUUCCACAGUAAAAACUUGACAAUAACAGACAGAAUGGUGGUGAAUCGUAAAGGCCACGAGAUGAAGAUCUCAAAAUUGCUGGAAUACCCGGCGCAUCAGCAGCUGUACCUAGAACUCGAGGAGAGUAAAUUCCGGAAAAGAGGGAAUUACACAUUACACUUGAGAUUCAUUUCGAGAUUAACGACCGAACUCGAGGGAUUUUAUCUGAGUUCUUAUAAGACGGCAGAAGGAGAGAA